rnacentral:rRNA from 1 species
GAUGAACGCUGGCGGCGUGCCUAAUACAUGCAAGUCGAGCGAACAGACGAGGAGCUUGCUCCUCUGACGUUAGCGGCGGACGGGUGAGUAACACGUGGAUAACCUACCUAUAAGACUGGGAUAACUUCGGGAAACCGGAGCUAAUACCGGAUAAUAUAUUGAACCGCAUGGUUCAAUAGUGAAAGACGGUUUUGCUGUCACUUAUAGAUGGAUCCGCGCCGCAUUAGCUAGUUGGUAAGGUGACGGCUUACCAAGGCAACGAUGCGUAGCCGACCUGAGAGGGUGAUCGGCCACACUGGAACUGAGACACGGUCCAGACUCCUACGGGAGGCAGCAGUAGGGAAUCUUCCGCAAUGGGCGAAAGCCUGACGCAGCAACGCCGCGUGAGUGAUGAAGGUCUUCGGAUCGUAAAACUCUGUUAUUAGGGAAGAACAAAUGUGUAAGUAACUAUGCACGUCUUGACGGUACCUAAUCAGAAAGCCACGGCUAACUACGUG